rnacentral:rRNA from 1 species
CAGCAGCCGCGGGAAUACGUAGGUGGCAAGCGUUGUCCGGAAUUAUUGGGCGUAAAGGGCUCGCAGGCGGUUUCUUAAGUCUGAUGUGAAAGCCCCCGGCUCAACCGGGGAGGGUCAUUGGAAACUGGGAAACUUGAGUGCAGAAGAGGAGAGUGGAAUUCCACGUGUAGUGGUGAAAUGCGUAGAGAUGUGGAGGAACACCAGUGGCGAAGGCGACUCUCUGGUCUGUAACUGACGCUGAGGAGCGAAAGCGUGGGGAGCGAACAGGAUUAGAUACCCCCGUAGUCCCUGUCUCUUAUAC